GUGCUCACUUUGGGAGCUCUUACACUAAAAUUGGAAUAAUACAGAAAAGUUUAACAUGACCCCAUGCAAGGGUGACAUGCAAACUUGAGAAGCAUUCCAUAUUUAA